ensembl:lncRNA
UCUCUCUCUCUCACUCCCUUUUAUGCAUCUCUCUCUCUAUAUAAUUGGGUCUAUUAGCUCCUACAGGAGGUCAUGAGCAAUACCUCUAUAGAUGGGUGGGCACAGACUCUAACUGAACUGGCCGUGUGUGUAGACUAAAGUGCAGGGGGGGAAGAGCCACAGGGAAUAGAGUGUUGGGGAGAAACAAGCAUUAAUGCACUAAGAUGGACCUCAGCUCAUGUCUGCAUGCAGCAGGGGCAGGUAGCCUAGUGGUUAGAGGGGGCAGGUAGCCUAGUGGUUAGAGGAGGCAGGUAGCCUAGUGGUUAGAGGAGGCAGGUAGUCUAGUGGUUAGAGGAGGCAGGUAGCCUAGUGGUUAGAAGAGGCAGGUAGCCUAGUGGUUAGAGGAGGCAGGCAGUCUAGUGGUUAGAGGAGGCAGGCAGUCUAGUGGUUAGAGGAGGCAGGUAGCCUAGUGGUUAGAGGAGGCAGGUAGCCUAGUGGUUAGAGGGGGCAGGUAGCCUAGUGGUUAGAGGAGGCAGGUAGCCUAGUGGUUAGAGGGGGCAGGUAGUCUAGUGGUUAGAGGAGGCAGGUAGCCUAGUGGUUAGAGGGGGCAGGUAGCCUAGUGGUUAGAGGAGGCAGGUAGCCUAGUGGUUAGAGGAGGCAGGUAGCCUAGUGGUUAGAGGGGGCAGGUAGCCUAGUGGUUAGAGGAGGCAGGUAGCCUAGUGGUUAGAGGAGGCAGGUAGCUUGUUGAGCGUUGGACUAGUAACUGAAAGGUUGCUGGAUGGAAUUAAUCUGUCUGGAUCGAAUCCCGAGCUGACAAAGUAGAAAGUGGGCGUUCUGCCCCUG